UGAGUGACAACACUUAGGAGUGGCUGCUGCUAAAUCUGGCUCAUGAAACUCAUGGGUUACAGAAACAAAAUUAGCUACAAAUUCAAGAUAUGAUGCAUACCAGUAUUUAGAGGGACUUGCUAUCAAGGUGUUCCUUAUAGCAAGAGUAAAGGAUCAUGAAGACACAAGUAGGAGUGUUGCUGGGCCUCCUGUGGAUACAAAUUUGCUGGGUGGAAGCUCAGAUGAAGGUGGAGCAGAGUCCUGGGGUCCUUAUCCUCCAGGAGGGGAGCAAUGCCUCUCUGACGUGCAAUUGUUCUAGCAGCAUGACCCGUGUGCAGUGGUUCCAACAAAAUCCUGGAGGACCCCUUAUAUCUUUAUUUUACAUGACCUCUAAACCGCAGGAAAAAGGAAGAUUAAAAUCCACAAUCAGUACCAAGGACCGUUACAGCCACCUCUAUAUCAGAGACUCUCAGCCUGGGGACUCAGCCACUUACUUCUGUGCGGUGGAGCACAGUGCUCUCCAGACACCUGCAGCCUGUACAGAAACCAGAGCUGAAGACCUGAUCCAACCCCCAGAGGGAGAGCAGGGGCCCAGCUGUUCCACGCAAGGCCUCCAGUUCCUCCUGAGACACAUCUCAGAAGAGAGUGUCAAUGUUUUCAUACUUGAUUUGGCCCAGGAGGAGAUCUCCUUCCAUCUGAAGAAACAGGCAGCUGAGGAAGAAGACUCAGACACAUACUGCUGUACCAUGUGCUAUGCUACUGUACUGUACUAUGAGUGGUACAAUGACAAGAACUGCAGAUAUAGCUGA